GCCUGGAUAGUUCAGUGGGAUAAGCUCACGUGGUGCUGAUAAUGCCAAGGUUGCAGGUUCGAUCCCCGUAUGGGAGAGCUGCA